rnacentral:tRNA from 1 species
UUCCAGGUGGCUGAUAAAAGUAUCGAGCUUUUAACUCGACUAUGGGAGAAAUCCCCCUGUAGC